rnacentral:rRNA from 1 species
UGCGUAGGCGGAUUGUUAAGUCAGUGGUGAAAGUCUACGGCUCAACCGUAGAAGUGCCAUUGAUACUGGCAGUCUUGAGUACAAUAGAGGUAGGCGGAAUUUAUGGUGUAGCGGUGAAAUGCAUAGAUACCAUAAAGAACACCUAUAGCGAAGGCAGCUUACUAUGCUGUAACUGACGCUGAGGCACGAAAGCGUGGGGAGCGAACAGGAUUAGAUACCCUGGUAGUCC